UCUAUACCCUUUGUGACAUACCUAUAACUGUUGCUUCGGCGGGUAGGGUCUCCGCGACCCUCCCGGCCUCCCGCCUCCGGGCGGGUCGGCGCCCGCCGGAGGAUAACCAAACUCUGAUUUAACGACGUUUCUUCUGAGUGGUACAAGCAAAUAAUCAAAACUUUUAACAACGGAUCUCUUGGUUCUGGCAUCGAUGAAGAACGCAGCGAAAUGCGAUAAGUAAUGUGAAUUGCAGAAUUCAGUGAAUCAUCGAAUCUUUGAACGCACAUUGCGCCCGCCAGCAUUCUGGCGGGCAUGCCUGUUCGAGCGUCAUUUCAACCCUCAAGCUCUGCUUGGUGUUGGGGCCCUACAGCUGAUGUAGGCCCUCAAAGGUAGUGGCGGACCCUCCCGGAGCCUCCUUUGCGUAGUAACUUUACGUCUCGCACUGGGAUCCGGAGGGACUCUUGCCGUAAAACCCCCCAAUUUUCCAAAGGUUGACCUCGGAUCAGGUAGGAAUACCCGCUGAACUUAAGCAUAUCAAUAAGCGGAGGAA
rnacentral:rRNA from 1 species